rnacentral:rRNA from 1 species
UACGGAGGGUGCAAGCGUUAUCCGGAUUUACUGGGUUUAAAGGGUGUAUAGGCGGACUUUUAAGUCCGUGGUGAAAUCUCCGGGCUCAACCCGGAAACUGCCAUGGAUACUAUUGGUCUUGAAUAUUGUUGAGGUGGGCGGAACGGGUCAUGUAGCGGUGAAAUGCAUAGAUAUGACCCGGAACACCGAUUGCGAAGGCAGCCCACUAAGCAAUGAUUGACGCUGAGGCACGAAAGCGUGGGGAUCGAAACAGG